rnacentral:rRNA from 1 species
UACGAAGGGUGCAAGCGUUAAUCGGAAUUACUGGGCGUAAAGGGUGCGUAGGCGGUUCGUUAAGUCUGUUGUGAAAUCCCCGGGCUCAACCUGGGAAUGGCAAUGGAUACUGGCUAGCUAGAGUGUGUCAGAGGAUGGUGGAAUUCCCGGUGUAGCGGUGAAAUGCGUAGAGAUCGGGAGGAACAUCAGUGGCGAAGGCGGCCAUCUGGGACAACACUGACGCUGAGGUGCGAAAGCGUGGGGAGCGAACAGG